CUGCUCACUUUGGCUGCACAUGGACUAAAAUUGGAACAACACGGAGAAGGUUAGCAUGGCCCCUGUGCAAAGAUGACACUCAGAUUUGUGACGCAUUCCAUCGUAAA
ensembl:snRNA U6 U6 spliceosomal RNA